UACGUAGGGUGCAGGCGUUAAUCGGAAUUACUGGGCGUAAAGCGUGUGCAGGCGGCCUGCUAAGAGUGGCGUGAAAUCCCCGGGCUUAACCUGGGAACUGCGCUUCUAACUGGCAGGCUAGAGUGUGGCAGAGGGGGGUGGAAUUCCACGUGUAGCAGUGAAAUGCGUAGAGAUGUGGAGGAACACCGAUGGCGAAGGCAGCCCCCUGGGCUAACACUGACGCUCAUGCACGAAAGCGUGGGGAGCAAACAGG
rnacentral:rRNA from 1 species